GACAGAGGUGCCGAGCGUUAGGCGGAAUCACUGGGCUUAAAGCGUGUGUAGGCGGAUGCCUAAGUACCUUGUGAAAUCCCACGGCUUAACCGUGGAACUGCUCGGUAUACUGGGUAUCUUGAGCCACUUAGGGGCGACCGGAACAAAUGGUGGAGCGGUGAAAUGCGUAGAGAUCGGGAGGAAGGCCGGUGGCGAAGGCGGCGCUCUGGAACGUUUCUGACACUGAGGCUCGAAAGCGUGGGGAGCAAACAGG
rnacentral:rRNA from 1 species